AACGAACGCUGGCGGCGUGCCUAACACAUGCAAGUCGAACGAGAAAGGGGCUUCGGCUCCGAGUAAAGUGGCGCACGGGUGAGUAACACGUGGGUAACCUGCCUCUAAGAUUGGGAUAACUCGUCGAAAGAUGAGCUAAUACCGAAUAAGACCACAGUUCCCGCGGGAACAGGGGUCAAAGGUAGCCUCUGCUUGCAAGCUAUCACUUAGAGAUGGGCCUGCGCACCAUUAGCUAGUUGGUAGGGUAACGGCCUGCCAAGGCAAAGAUGGUUAGCUGGUCUGAGAGGAUGAUCAGCCACACUGGAACUGAGACACGGUCCAGACUCCUACGGGAGGCAGCAGUGGGGAAUAUUGCGCAAUGGGCGAAAGCUUGACGCAGCAACGCCGCGUGAGUGAUGAAGGCCUUCGGGUCGUAAAGCUCUGUCGGGAGGAACGAAUGCUCCUGAGGUUAACAGCCUCGGGAGGUGACGGUACCUUCAAAGGAAGCACCGGCUAACUCUGUG
rnacentral:rRNA from 1 species